CUCGAAUCACUAAAAGUGAUUAAGUACUUCUUUGAUCAUUUAUUAAAAUUUUUGUACGAUUGAAAAAAUAUAUAAUAAUAAUAAUGUUAAAAUCAAUAAGUAGGAUCCGGAAUGAUAUGGUGUAGAACAUAAUCUAGUUUUUAAAAUAAUAAAAAAAAAUAUAAACAUUAAAGCAAGUAAAUAAAACAAAUACAUACGAAUAUACAUAAUAUUCAUAUACAUACAAUACAUAUAAAACAAAAAAAUCAUCUACGAUCUUGAGAAAGAACACAAUAUUUAAGAGAUAUUAAAAUUGCUGGGAAUAUUGAAUUAAAUACAAUACGUUUCAUCAAGUUUUAAAAUAAUCUAUCUUAUAUUUAUUCAUUACGAAAUAAUAUUAGUUAUGUCAACUUCUCGCUCUUUACAAGAAGAUAACGAUUACGAACACUGCGAAAUCUCGAAUGAGUUGGCUGUCUCAAGGAAGAAAUUUUCUCUCUAGUUAUAUGUGCAUUCCAUUACAGCUGAGUAUACAGCUUAGACUUUGCAUCUUAUGGGAUUUUGAAUCACCCUCUGCGAUUUACAGCGAUGAGUGUAGGAAUUAUAUUCAAUUCAACUAAUAAGGUAUAUUUAUAGAAAGGAUAAAAAUAAAAAACCAGUUGGCCAUAGGACAAGAUGUAAGGACAUGGAGACGUAAUGACUAAUUUGUGCAACCAUGAGGAUUAUAUUAAGAUGAACAUUUCACAUUAUAUUGAAAGCAGACGACACUUCUCAUAUGGUAUUUAGCGAAAGAAUGACAAAAAAAUAGAAGAAGGAUUGUGAAAGAUAAAAUAAAAAUACGGAAUUUUUUAACGAAAAUUUAAAAUAAAAAGAUUGUCUUAAAAAAUAUGGGAAAUUAUGUCAACAUUGGUAGCGAAAAUUCCACUUCAGAAAAAAAUCGAAAAUUUUUAUGAAAAUUUAAUAUAUCUAUGAAUUUUUUACACAAAG